rnacentral:rRNA from 1 species
AUUGAACGCUGGCGGCAGGCCUAACACAUGCAAGUCGAGCGAGCGGCGGACGGGUGAGUAAUGUCUGGGGAUCUGCCUGAUGGAGGGGGAUAACUACUGGAAACGGUAGCUAAUACCGCAUACCAUCAGAUGUACCCAUAUGGGAUUAGCUUGUAGGUGGGGUAACGGCUCACCUAGGCGACGAUCCCUAGCUGGUCUGAGAGGAUGACCAGCCACACUGGAACUGAGACACGGUCCAGACUCCUACGGGAGGCAGCAGUGGGGAAUAUGGCAAAAUGGGCGCAAGCCUGAUGCAGCCAUGCCGCGUGUAUGAAGAAGGCCUUCGGGUUGUAAAGUACUUUCAGCCGGGAGGCGUUACCGGCAGAAGAAGCACCGGCUAACUCCGUGCCAGCAGCCGCGGUAAUUC